rnacentral:rRNA from 1 species
UACGGGGGGGGUAAGCGUUGUUCGGAAUUACUGGGCGUAAAGGGCUCGUAGGCGGCCAACUAAGUCAGACGUGAAAUCCCUCAGCUUAACUGGGGAACUGCGUCUGAUACUGGAUGGCUUGGAUUCGGGAGAGGAAUGCGGAAUUCCAGGUGUAGCGGUGAAAUGCGUAGAUAUCUGGAGGAACACCGGUGGCGAAGGCGGAUCUCUGGGCCUUACCUGACGCUCAGGUGCGAAAGCUAGGGGAGCGAACAGG